rnacentral:lncRNA from 1 species
GGAAUUUUGGCCGUGGUGGAAACUUUGGUGGAAGAGGAGACUAUGGUGGUGGAGGUGGUGGAAGCAGAGUCAUGUGACUUCAGCGAAAAGAAUCUAUCCUAAUAGAAGAAAAUUACUGUAAACAGCUUGAAAUGACGUGCACAUUGGCAUUGCAGGCUUCAGCAGGAGGCAGGUGGAAAACCCUGAAGGAGCAAGUAAGGAGAAUUUGACAGAGUGGACAAGGUCAAGAGAGCCAAUGUGAGACGAUGAAGCACCCAGGCCUGGUCACAGUUGAAAACAGUUGCCCCUUCCUCACUCCUAUUAAGCAGUGACCAGAACCCAGGGAGAUGACCCUAGCCCUACUUUUUUCACCUCUCUGCUCUCCUGUAAGUGCUCCAUGGGCAAAACUAACAAUAAGCCAGAGGGUAAAGAACCCUGCAUGAUGAUAUCCAGAGGGCCUAGAAUUCUUCUCUGAAAAUACUAUAUGCUGAUGACUGCUAGGUUUUUAUACCCAGGCUUAAAUUUAAA